UACGUAGGGUGCAAGCGUUGUCCGGAAUUAUUGGGCGUAAAGAGCUCGUAGGCGGUUUGUCGCGUCUGCUGUGAAAACCCGAGGCUCAACCUCGGGCCUGCAGUGGGUACGGGCAGACUAGAGUGCGGUAGGGGAGAUUGGAAUUCCUGGUGUAGCGGUGAAAUGCGCAGAUAUCAGGAGGAACACCAAUGGCGAAGGCAGAUCUCUGGGCCGUAACUGACGCUGAGGAGCGAAAGCAUGGGGAGCGAACAGG
rnacentral:rRNA from 1 species